ensembl:lncRNA
CUAUAAAUACAGUCGUGGCCAAAAGUUUUGAGAAUGACACAAAUAUACAUUUUCACAAAGUUUGCUACUUCAGUGUCUUUAGAUAUUUUUGUCAGAUGUUGCUAUGGAAUACUGUAACAUAAUUACAAGCAUUUCAUAACUUUCAAAGCCUUUUAUUGACAAUUACAUGAAGUUGAUGAAAAUAGUUAAUUUGCAGUGUUGACCCUUCUUUUUCAAGACCUCUGCAAUCUGCCUUGGCAUGCUAUUAAUUAACUUCCUAGCCACAUCCUGACCUAUGGCAGCCCAUUCUUGCAUAAUCAAUGCUUGGAGUUUAUCAGAAUUUGUGGGUUUUUGUUUGUCCACCCGCCUCUUGAGGAUUGACCUCAAGUUCUCAAUGGGAUUAAGGUCUGGGGUGUUUCCUGGCCAUGACCCAAAAUAUCGAUGUUUUGUUCCCCGGGCCACUUAGUUAUCACUUUUGCCUUAUGGCAAGGUGCUCCAUCAUGCCGGAAAAGGCAUUGUUCCUCACCAAACUGUUCCUGGAUGGUUGGGAGAAGUUGCUCUCCUGAGCAAGCUCUGUACUGAUGGUGUCCUGAUACCGCAGCUGAAUCAAUUUUAGGAGACGGUCCUGGCGCUUGCUGGACUUUCUUGGGUGCCCUGAAUCCUUCUACACAACAAUUGAACCGCUCUCCUUCAAGUUCUUGAUUAUCCGAUAAAUGGUUGAUUUAGGUGCAAUCUUACUGGCAGCAAUAUCCUUGCCUGCAAAGCCCUUUUUGUGCAAAGCAAUGAUGACGGCACAUGUUUCCUUGCAGGUAACCAUGAUUGACAGAGGAAGAACAAUGAUUCCAAGCACCACCCUCGUUUUGAAGCUUCCAGUCUGUUAUUCGAACUCAAUCAGCAUGACAGAGUGAUCUCCAGCCUUGUCCUCGUCAACACUCACACCAGUCUUAACGAGAGAAUCACUGACAUGAUAUCAGCUGGUCCUUUUGUGGCAGGGCUGACUCAGUGGAAAAGUUUUUUGGGGAUCCAGUUCAUUUGCAUGGCAAAGAGGGACUUUGCAAUUAAUUGCAAUUCAUCUGAUCACUCUUCAUAACAUUCUGGAGUAUAUGUAUAUGCAAAUUGCCAUCAUACAUCAUACAGCAGUCUUUGUGAAAAUUAAUAUUUGUAUCAUUCAGAAAACUUUUGACCACAACUGUACACUACCGGUCAAAAGUUUGGACACACCUACUCAUUUAAGAUUUUUCUAUAUUUUUUACUAUUUUCUACAUUGUAGAAUAAUAGUGAAGACAUCAAAACCAUGAAAUAACACUUAUGGAAUCAUGUAGUAACCAAAAAAGUGUUAAACGAAUCAAAAUAUAUUUUAUAUUUGAGAUUCUUCAAAUAGCCACCCUUUGCCUUGACGACAGCUUUGCACACUCUUGGCAUUCUCUCAACCAGCCAUAUGAGGUAAUCACCUGGAAUGUAUUUCAAUUAACAGGUGUGGAAUUUCUUUCCUUCUUAAUGCAUUUGAGCCAAUCAGUUGUGUUGUGACAAGGUAGGGGUGGUAUACAGAAGAUAGCCCUAUUUGGUAAAAUACCAAGUCUAUAAAUGGCAAGAACAGCUCAAAUAAGAAAAGAGAAAUGACAGUCCAACAUUUUUUUAAGACAUGGAGGUCAGUCAACUUGAAACAUUUCAAGGACUUUGAAAGUUUCUUCAAGUGCUGUCCCAGAAACCAUCAAGAGCUAUGAUGAAACUGUUGUAAUGUGCAACAUCUGGUAAGGUCUCUCUGUGCUGUAGGACCUGGUGAAAGUCCAUAAGAGUCUCAUGGUGGAGGUGCAAGACUCCACUCUCAACAAGAACACCUUAAACCUCUACAAGAUCUACAUCACCUAUAAGGACAGGUAUUUAUUAAUAUUAAUCUAUUUACAUUAUAUGUAAUAGUUUUACACACAGUACAACACAUCGAUUCCUUAAAAUUCAUAGUUCGCUGUAACACAAUGUAAACAACUUAAAUGUGGGCUUCAAUUGCCCUCCAUAAUGAUACUUAUCACCUUAAAAUGGUAGGUUACUCAUUUAUGGAAUCUAUUGCAGCCAAGUUGAGAUAUCCAUUGCUGUUUUGGAUUGUAUCUGAAGCUAGAGGUAAGAAGAUACUAUAAUAAUAAUAAUAAUAAUAAUAAUAAUAAUGGCUUUAGGAUUUCUAUUGCGGGGUCAUUUGAAGUGUUGUGGCCCUCUAGUGUCCAAUUAAGAAAUCACAGCAUAUUCAAACCAUGUGUGUUCUAAGAGAGCGAACAAUGGGAAGUUUAUUCAGAGAUCUACUGAUCUACCUCCCCAUGCAGAACGUCCUCAAGUAUCAUCUCCUACUACAGGUAUGUUUAUCACAGACAGUGUACACAUACACUCACAGCCAAUGGGACUGGGACAAGAUUAUAUUAUAAAUGACCACUAGGGGGAGACAUCCACCACAUAUUUUCUCUCUUCCUGGACACUCACACUUCCAUAGUGGAAAGGAGUGAGAGGAGGAAUGGGGAGAGAUGGGGAUGAAAGAAAGGAGAGAGGAGAAGAAGAGAGGAUGGAGGAGAGUAGAUGGUGGAGUAGAGAGGAUAUGGGGAGAGGUUUGGUUCUAGAGAAACAGAGCCUGCCAGUCCACACCUGUCCCUGGGUUAAUCUCAUCAUAGUUAGUUAUUCAUCAUAGCAGUAGGAUAGCCUUGGACUUCAAUUGCUCUUUGUUCAACUGUGAAAUCACCUGCCAUUAUUUGUUUUUGUUGUUGUUUCUUUGGGGGCUGGUUGCCUUUUCAGCAAAGAAAGAAAGAAAGAAAGAAAGAAAGAAAGAAAGAAAGAAAGAAAGAGAACAAAAGCUCAGAUCUCAAAGGAACUGGACAGAUUUGAGUCUUGGCAGGUGACUGACUCCAACGUGUUAAGUGUAUUUUAGCUGGAAGAGCUGGGGACACUGUGGAAAAAAUAAUUAUACAUUCAAAACUAAGGCUUGAAUGCAAAAUAAAGAUGUUUAUUAGAACAUCACUGUGCCCGAAAAAUCAAGAAAUGAAUCACUGCAAUUGUAAACCCCAUGUGUUAAGAAACAAAACUGUGGAAUAAAUUUCCGUGUCCUCUAGUCAUCAACUAAGAUGUGGUAUCAAACUGUGUUCAAGCACUGUAAUCAAAAUGAAAAUAAUUGAAAGUAGAAAUUACACUCAAUUUAAUGGGAGACUUUCUUUAAAAAAUGAAACGUUUCGACUUCAGGCCAUAAGUGUUAUGAAUUGUCACCUGACUUCUAUUUUCAAGGAGAAUUGCAUGUCACAUGAUCAAGCAAGAAACUACAUCAGAAAAUCUAUGAAUCAGUAUCUAGAUUAUAUACAAAAUAUACCGAUACGGACAGAGAAAUAUCAUCAAUUAAUUGUAUUUACAUAUACAAUGUAAACAUCUCCUCAGCAUAAAUAACACAAGACUGUGAUAGAGUACAGAGCUAGAGAGACCACUAGAUGGGGGUAUCGAACACCAUUAAGAGAAAAUAUACCAGUCCCAGAAACCACUUAAUUCAUGCCUGAUGGACAAGCCUUAAACACAAGGCCAGAUCUACACUAGAGUUGAAAUAAGACAGGGAAUGUUCCUGACUGGCUGACUUACAGUUUUGACUUAUGUCUACUUGAAAAUAUAUAGCAAGAACUGAAAAUGGAUGUGUAGCAAUGAUCAACAACCGAUUUAGAAAAUAAUCUUAGUGAUUUACCCAGAAGGACUCUGUAAUCGCAGCCAAAGGUGCUUUUACAAAGUAUUGAGUCUUGGGUGUGAAUAUUUAUGUAAAUGAGAAAUGUCUCUUUCAUUUUCAAUAAAUUAGCAAACAUUUCUUAAAAACAUGUUUUCACUUUGUCAUUGUGGGUUUUUGAGUGUAGAUGGGUGAGAUAAAAUAAAUAUAUUUAAUCCACUAUAAAUUCAGGCUGUAAAACAACAAAAUGUAAAAUAUGUCUGGUAUGAAUAAUAUCUGAAAGCAAUGUAACUCCAAAUCAAAUCAAAUAGUCACAUGCACAUGAAUAGGUGUAAACCUUACAGUGAAUUUCUUACUUACAAGCCCAACCAACAAUGCAGUUUAAAAAAAUAUGACUAAGAAAUAAAAGUAACAAAUAGUUAAAGGGCAGCAGUAAAAAAACAGGGAGUACCGGUACAGAGUCAAUGUGGAGGCUAUAUACAGGGGGCACCGGUACAGAGUCAAUGUGGAGGCUAUAUACAGGGGGUACUGGUACAGAGUCAAUGUGGAAGCUAUAUACAGGGGGGUACAGGUACAGAGUCAAUGUGGAGGCUAUAUACAGGGGGCACCGGUACAGAGUCAAUGUGGAGGCUAUAUACAGGGGUACUGGUACAGAGUCAAUGUGGAAGCUAUAUACAGGGGGGGGUACCGGUACAGAGUCAAUGUGGAGGUUAUAUACAGGGAGUACCAGUACAGAGUCAAUGUGGAGGUUAUAUACAGGGGGUACCGGUACAGAGUCAAUGUGGAGGCUAUAUAAAGGGGGUGCCGGUACAGAGUCAAUGUGCGGGGGCACCGGUUAGUCAAGGUAAUAUGUAUAGAUAGCAACAGAGACCAUGCUCUCGAUGGUGCAACUGUAGGACCUUUUGAGGAUCUGAGGAUUCUUGCCAAAUCUUUUCAGUCUCCUGAGGGGGAAUACGUUUUGCCCUCUUCACGACUGUCUUGGUGUGCGUGGACCAUGUUAGUUUGUUGGUGAUGUGGACACCAAGGAACUUGAAGCUCUCAGCCUGCUCCACUACAGCCCCGUCGAUGAGAAUGGGGGCGUGCUCGUUCCUCCUUUUCCUGUAGUCCACAAUUAUAUCCUUUGUCUUGAUCACGUUGAGGAAGAGGUUGUUGUCCUGGCACCACACAGCCAGGUCUCUGACCUCCUCCCUAUAGGAUGUCUCAUCGUUGUCGGUGAUCAGGCCUUCCACUGUUGUGUCAUCAGCAAACUUAAUUAUGAGGGGCCCAGGUGUCGAGGAUUAGUGUGCCAGAUGUGUUGUUAUCUAUCCUUACCACUUGGGGGUGGCCCGUCAGGAUGUCCAGGAUCCAGUUGCAGAGGGAGGUGUUUAGUCCCAGGGCCCUUGGCUUAUUGAUGAGCUUUGAGGGCGCUAUGGUGUUGAACGCUGUAGUCAAAUAAUAGCAUUCACAUAUUUUGUCCAGGUGGGAUAGGGCAGUGUGGAGUGCAAUAGAGAUUGCAUCAUCUGUGGAUCUGUUAGGGAGGUAUGCAAAUUGGAGUGGGUCUAGGGUUUCUAGGAUAAUGGUGAUGUGAGUCAUGACCUUUUAACCUCUAGUGACACCCCAUCCUGUGAACGGGACCGUUGUCAUCAUCUGACACUAAUUAGCAUAACGCAACGGAC